AACGAACGUUAGCGGCGCGCCUAACACAUGCAAGUCGAACGCGACUGGGGGCAACUCCAGUUGAGUGGCGCACGGGUGAGUAACACGUAGGUAAUCUCCCCUCGAGUGGUGGAUAACCUUCCGAAAGGAGGGCUAAUACAGCAUAAGACCACGGCCUCGAAAGAGGCUGAGAUCAAAGCGGAGGAUCGCAAGACUUCGCGCUUGAGGAUGAGCCUGCGGCCCAUCAGGUAGUUGGCGGAGUAACAGCCCACCAAGCCUAAGACGGGUAGCUGGUCUGAGAGGAUGAUCAGCCACACUGGAACUGAGACACGGUCCAGACUCCUACGGGAGGCAGCAGUGGGGAAUCUUGCGCAAUGGACGAAAGUCUGACGCAGCGACGCCGCGUGGGUGAUGAAGGCCUUCGGGUUGUAAAGCCCUGUGGGGAGGGACGAAUAAGUUGCAGCUAAUACCUGCAGCGAUGACGGUACCUCCUUAGCAAGCACCGGCUAACUCUGUGCCAGCCGCCGCAGUAA
rnacentral:rRNA from 1 species